rnacentral:rRNA from 1 species
UACGAAGGGGGCAAGCGUUGUUCGGAUUUACUGGGCGUAAAGCGUACGUAGGCGGUUUGUUAAGUCUGGGGUGAAAUCCCGGGGCUCAACCUCGGAACUGCCUUUGAUACUGGUGAUCUUGAGUCCGGGAGAGGUGAGUGGAACUCCUAGUGUAGAGGUGAAAUUCGUAGAUAUUAGGAAGAACACCAGUGGCGAAGGCGGCUCACUGGCCCGGAACUGACGCUGAGGUACGAAAGCGUGGGGAGCAAACAGG